AGUGAACGCUGGCGGUAGGCCUAACACAUGCAAGUCGAACGGCAGCACAGUAAGAGCUUGCUCUUACGGGUGGCGAGUGGCGGACGGGUGAGGAAUACAUCGGAAUCUACUUUUUCGUGGGGGAUAACGUAGGGAAACUUACGCUAAUACCGCAUACGACCUACGGGUGAAAGCAGGGGAUCUUCGGACCUUGCGCGAUUGAAUGAGCCGAUGUGGGAUUAGCUAGUUGGCGGGGUAAAGGCCCACCAAGGCGACGAUCCGUAGCUGGUCUGAGAGGAUGAUCGGCCACACUGGAACUGAGACACGGUCCAGACUCCUACGGGAGGCAGCAGUGGGGAAUAUUGGACAAUGGGCGCAAGCCUGAUCCAGCCAUACCGCGUGGGUGAAGAAGGCCUUCGGGUUGUAAAGCCCUUUUGUUGGGAAAGAAAAGCAGCAGGCUAAUACCCCGCUGUUCUGACGGUACCCAAAGAAUAAGCACCGGCUAACUUCGUG
rnacentral:rRNA from 1 species